AGGCCUAGGAAGCAUUGGGGAGAGGUGAUUAGGCAGGACAUGACUAGAAUGCAGGUUACCGAGGACUUGACCCUUGAUAGGGGAGUCUGGAGGUCUAGGAUAAGGGUUGCAGGCUAGGGGCUCUUAGAGUCCUUCGUUCGCCCCACCCAGGAUUGGGUGUGGGAUAGUAGGGUUACCCGUAGAUGACUAGUGUUUUAGCGUAGGUCCCCUCUUGGUUGGUAAUAUGAGAGUUGUCGCUUGUUAUUGUCGCAUGCGACGGUAUUUAUGUUUCUUAUGUUUACAUAAUCAUUUACGUUAUUUCUGCAGGNNN
rnacentral:lncRNA from 1 species